ACGAAAUCGGACGCGAGUCCGGUGACGUCCCCUCGCUGUGCGCCUUUGGGCCUGCACGCUUGGGAAUCCACACACCUGUGCAUGCUCGGUUGGUGGGCUUCGGCUCGCCUCUCGCCCACACACAUACUACUUCUGUCUCGAAUGUCUUUUAUCAUAACAUAAAUA
rnacentral:misc_RNA from 1 species